rnacentral:rRNA from 1 species
AACGAACGCUGGCGGCAUGCCUAACACAUGCAAGUCGAACGAGACCUUCGGGUCUAGUGGCGCACGGGUGCGUAACGCGUGGGAACCUGCCCUUAGGUUCGGAAUAACUCCCCGAAAGGGGUGCUAAUACCGGAUAAUUUCUUCGGACCAAAGAUUUAUCGCCUUUGGAUGGGCCCGCGUUGGAUUAGCUAGUUGGUAGGGUAAAAGCCUACCAAGGCGACGAUCCAUAGCUGGUCUGAGAGGAUGAUCAGCCACACUGGGACUGAGACACGGCCCAGACUCCUACGGGAGGCAGCAGUGGGGAAUAUUGGACAACGGGCGAAAGCAUGAUCCAGCAAUGCCGCGUGAGUGAUGAAGGCCUUAGGGUUGUAAAGCUCUUUUACACGGGAUGAUAAUGACAGUACCGGGAGAAUAAGCUCCGGCUAACUCCGUG